AUUGAACGCUGGCGGCAGGCCUAACACAUGCAAGUCGAACGGUAACAGGAAGAAGCUUGCUUCUUUGCUGACGAGUGGCGGACGGGUGAGUAAUGUCUGGGAAACUGCCUGAUGGAGGGGGAUAACUACUGGAAACGGUAGCUAAUACCGCAUAACGUCGCAAGACCAAAAAGGGGGACCUUCGGGCCUCUUGCCAUCGGAUGUGCCCAGGUGGGAUUAGCUAGUAGGUGGGGUAACGGCUCACCUAGGCGACGAUCCCUAGCUGGUCUGAGAGGAUGACCAGCCACACUGGAACUGAGACACGGUCCAGACUCCUACGGGAGGCAGCAGUGGGGAAUAUUGCACAAUGGGCGCAAGCCUGAUGCAGCCAUGCCGCGUGUAUGAAGAAGGCCUUCGGGUUGUAAAGUACUUUCAGCGGGGAGGAAGGGAGUAAGGUUAAUACCUUUGCUCAUUGACGUUACCCGCAGAAGAAGCACCGGCUAACUCCGUG
rnacentral:rRNA from 1 species